rnacentral:rRNA from 1 species
GGGGUGAAAUCCCACGGCUCAACCGUGGAACUGCCUUAGAUACUGUCGGCCUCGAGGAAGGUAGGGGCAUGCGGAACUGUAGGUGGAGCGGUGAAAUGCGUUGAUAUCUACAGGAACUCCGGUGGCGAAAGCGGCGUGCUGGACCUUUUCUGACGCUGAGGCGCGAAAGCUAGGGGAGCAAACGGGAUUAAUACCCCGGUAGUCCUAGCCCUAAACGAUGGGUACUAGAUAGUAGACUAGACAUGGGUUUACUGUCGAAGCUAAAGUGCUAAGUACCCCGCCUGGGGAGUAUGGUCGCAAGGCUGAAACUCAAAGAAAUUGACGGGGGCUCACACAAGCGGUGGAGCAUGUGGCUUAAUUCGAGGCUACGCGAAGAACCUUAUCCUGGACUUGACAUGUGCGAAAGCGUCAGGUAGUAGAAGCCGGAAACGGUAACGAACCUAGCAAUAGGGAGCCUGAUACAGGUGCUGCAUGGCUGUCGUCAGCUCGUGUCGUGAGAUGUCGGGUUAAGUCCCAUAACGAGCGAAACCCUUACCUCUAGUUGCAACCGCAAGGGCACUCUAGAGGGACUGCCGGUGUUAAACCGGAGGAAGGCGGGGAUGACGUCAAGUCCUCAUGGCCUUUAUGUCCAGGGCUGCACACGUGCUACAAUGGUGCGUACAAAGAGAAGCGACUUAGCGAUAAGAAGCCAAUCUCAAAAAACGCGCCCCAGUUCAGAUCGUAGGCUGCAACAAGCCUACGUGAAGCCGGAAUCGCUAGUAAUCGCGGGUCAGCA